rnacentral:rRNA from 1 species
AUUGAACGCUGGCGGAAUGCUUUACACAUGCAAGUCGAACGGCAGCACGGACUUCGGUCUGGUGGCGAGUGGCGAACGGGUGAGUAAUGUACCGGAACGUGCGCAGUCGUGGGGGAUAACGUAGUGAAAAUUACGCUAAUACCGCAUACGAUCUAUGGAUGAAAGCGGGGGAUCGCAAGACCUCGCCCGAUUGGAGCGGCCAAUAUCAGAUUAGGUAGUUGGUGGGGUAAAGGCCCACCAAGCCAACGAUCUGUAGCUGGUCUGAGAGGACGACCAGCCACACUGGAACUGAGACACGGUCCAGACUCCUACGGGAGGCAGCAGUGGGGAAUUUUGGACAAUGGGCGAAAGCCUGAUCCAGCCAUUCCGCGUGCAGGAUGAAGGCCCUCGGGUUGUAAACUGCUUUUGUACAGAACGAAAAGGUUUCUACUAAUACUAGGAGCUCAUGACGGUACUGUAGGAAUAAGCACCGGCUAACUACGUGCCAGCCGCCGCGGUAA